UAAUUGACAUAUUUUAACACUAUCAUUGUGCAUAUAAUUGACAUAUUUUAACACUAUCAUUGUACAUAUAAUUGACAUAUUUUAGCACUAUCAUCGUACAUAUAAUUGACAUAUGUUAUCACUAUCAUUGUACAUAUAAUGGACAUAUUUUAACACUAUCAUUGUACAUAUAAUUGACAUAUUUUAACACUAUCAAUACAUAUAAUGGACAUAUUUUAACACUAUCAUUGUACAUAUAAUUGACAUAUUUUAGCACUAUCAUCGUACAUAUAAUUGACAUAUGUUAUCACUAUCAUUGUACAUAUAAUGGACAUAUUUUCGCACUUUCAUUGUACAUAUAAAAUGAUAGAUUUAAGCACUUUCAUUGUAUAGAUAAUUGACAUAUUUUAGCAAUGUCAUUGUACAUAUUAUUGACAGACUUAAGCAUACCUGCCAACUUUUGAAAAUGCCCAUGGGGGUUUUAGUGCGCGACAACAAUUUCAAAGGUUACAAUUCUUUGCAACGACUAUUUUGCGCGUGCUGUUUUGUAGUCUAGAAAUGUCAUAUUUGUAAGAUGAGCUUACAUGCCUUUUUCUUAAGUUUAUUUGCAUGAUUCUAGUUAUUAUAUCAGCAGAAAAUAUGAACAUGUAGCUGUAAGACCUGCAGGAAUUAUUUUCAUGUGUAAGGAUACUAAAUAGUUGUUGACUUUUCCAAUUUAAAAUUAUACACAAAGAAGGACCUUUAUCAGGUAAGGAACAAAACCUAGGGAUCCCCAUUCAAUGUUAGGACAUUAAAAACCACUUUUUAAGUACAAAUGAGCAC
rnacentral:lncRNA from 1 species